rnacentral:rRNA from 1 species
UUAUUGGUUUGGUCAGCCCAAAACAUGAGAAGUUUUUUUAUGGGCCCCAACAAGCGCAACCCCUAUCCCUUUUUGCCCCCAGCUCUGGCGGGGCCUCUUAAGAGGCCCCCCGGGACAAACCCGAGGAAAGUGGGGAUGACCUCCAGUCUUCCUUGCCCUUUUUGGCAGGGCUUCACCCCUGCUUCAAUUGGCCGUACAAAGGGUUUGCAAACCGCGGGGAAGAGCCAAUUCCCCAAAGCCGGUUCUCGGCCGGGAUGGUUUUUUCCACCUGAGGGAACUGAAGCCGGUAUUUUCUUUUGUAUCGUUGAGCAGCCUGGGCCUACGUUUAAAUGUGUUGGCG